rnacentral:rRNA from 1 species
GACGAACGCUGGCGGCGUGCCUAAUACAUGCAAGUAGAACGCUGAAGGAGGAGCUUGCUUCUCUGGAUGAGUUGCGAACGGGUGAGUAACGCGUAGGUAACCUGCCCGGUAGCGGGGGAUAACUAUUGGAAACGAUAGCUAAUACCGCAUAAGAGUAGAUGUUGCAUGACAUUUGCUUAAAAGGUGCAAUUGCAUCACUACCAGACGGACCUGCGUUGUAUUAGCUAGUUGGUGAGGUAACGGCACACCACGGCGGCGAUACAUAGUCGACCUGAGAGGGGGGUCGGCCGUACUGGGACUGGGACCCGGCCCAUGCUCCUACAGGAUGCAGCAGUAGGGCAUCUUCGGCAAUGGGCGGAAGUCUUACCGCACAACGCCGCGUCAGUGAAGAAGGUUUUCGGGUCGUAAAGCUCUGUUGUCAGAGAAGAACCAGUGUUAGAGUGUGAAGUUCACACUGUGACGGUAUCUUACCAGAAAGGGACGGCUAACUACGUG